ACAGAUGUUAUAAUGCCAACCACAGCAGUAGCGUGUAGCGACUCAAGCUCUCUCCGUGGAGACUCUGUGUGACUGUAUGUUUGCAGAAUACAACCAGGAACUGCAGUUGGCCAAUUUGCAUGUGUGACAUUUCGUUUAACUGAUGUAUUUAUAUGCGCCCAGAGAGAAAAUCUAUGUUGGCUCCGAAGUCCUUCACUAUUUGCCGUAAUGUCAGUAUGCAGCACCAGAAGAGAUUAAACCGGUGGGCAACAGGGUUUUAAAGAAGAGACUUUUUUUUUACAAUCAGUGGUAGAAAGUAAAUUUUUUUUAUAGUAUUAAUAUAUUUAACUUGUAUAUUUUUCAAUUUAUGCUACUUUCUUCUUUGCUGCUUUACUUCUGCUCCGCCACAUAUCAGAGGGAAAUAUUGUACUUCUUAUUUCCAGGCCUCCACAACAUUAUCUGGUUAAUGUUACUUUGAUUUUAUACGUAGAAAAUAUCCUUUACAACUUAGCAAACGUGGUCGAAUGGCUCCAAAAAGUCAUUCUGCGUCACAACAGUGACCCCAAACAUAUGGAUCUAAAAUUCCUAUCCAGCGACAAGAAGGAGAAUGAGGAGCUGAUCUGAACAACACGGAGACAGUCCAGGGUCACAAGAAGAGACAAGAAGAGACAUGAAGAGACAGGAAGAGACAAGAAGAGACAAGAAGAGACAACCAACACUGCGACAAGUUCUCGAAGAAGCUUGGAACAACCUACCUGCCAAAAUAUGAUAAAAAGAAUAUUUGUGACAUUACUUUCAGAAGCUGAAAGUGUUGCGAGGAACUGUAGAUUAGAAGCCCGGUUUUUUCCUCAGGUCUAUGUUGCACUCCAUGGAGGGGGUCAAGUCGUGGAAGUGGUGUGUUUGCCAUUUUGUAAUGUUGUCAAGGUAUGGUAAUAAUUAUACUAUAUGCAAUGUGGGGGUGUGUAUGAUGAUGUGCAUGGGGUCACUAAUGGAGGUCACCUGUAGCUACUAUCAUGAAUUUCAAGGAAGGAAUAAAGGUCUGUUGCCCAGUUUUUACCCACGAGUGAAAGACUGCAUAGCAACAUGUGCAUGUUCAACAGCUCAGCUGACGUCCUCCUCUACAACUGCCUAACUGAUCACAGAGGUCUGAGGCCCCAAGCAGCCAAAUGAGCAGAUCAAUAUCAUGCACUUAAUGUGACGGUCAAAGAAGGUUAUCACAAGAAUAGGUCUGCUGACACUGUCUGCAUUGUAGUGGUGGAGCUGAGGCACAAGCCAAAUGCCCAUACACAUCCAAAUUGUGUGGUUAUCAACAUGAGUCAAACCGUUUUGAGCACAGGCACUGACGGUGCGUCAUCUUUAGACGAAGACAAAAAUGGAGAAGAUGCCACUGGAAAUCAGCGCCUUUCAAGACUUUUUAAUUUAUGGGCUUCACCAUAAGGAGAAGGACGAGUACAAAGGGAGGGGAACAAUAGUGCCACUGUUCAUACACAAAUAAUGGACAAAGGCUGGCAGCUUGUACAUGAAAGCCUGAAGUCUGUGCUGAUGUGUGCAUGUUCAGUCAGUGCUGUGGUGCCAUCUAGUGGUCAUAAAGAAAACGUUCGGUUGUGUGCACAUGCUUGGCACACACUUAUUUGCCAUUUUCUAACAUGGAGGAAAAAUUUGGAAAAUGCCCUAUAUACACUUGACACAUGAGUUAAAGCAACAACCAAAUCAAAUAUAAUACGAAUUCAAUAAAUAAUGGCUCUGUGAGGCUGCACGUACACACAAGCAGCGGUUUUGAGCUUAAUGCUUAUGGGUUUAUUAAAAGAUAUGAAGGCCUGUGUAUUUUGUAUGUAUGUGCUAUCUCAUCAAAACCAGCCUGGCUCACGAUGACAAUGCUAAUAUGCUAAUAUUAAGCAAUGAUGUUUUCCAUGUUUACUAUCAGUACUCAGUUUUGAAUAUCUAGCAUGCUGACAUUCGCCGGCUCACAUUAAAUUAGGACCAUUUAUUUUAUGAGGAAUAUAUUAAAUAUGAUGCUGUGCUUUACUUUCAAAGUAACAGGUUGUGUACUGAGCUACCUCAAAUAUGACCAACUACAAUAUUAAAGGGGCAACAAGAGAUUCUAAAGCAUUACACGUUUUGUAAAAAUCAGCAAAUAUUUCCUCACUGUCCGUCAGCUGUCGGUUCUGUGUGUGCGCAGAAAACAAAUCUGGGUUUUCGGCUCAGCCCCCGCUCUGUAAAUCGCAAACAAAAAAAUUAUACUUUUCUUUUUGCCUUUGUUCAGGUAACAUGUCGAACGCAGGACUUGUAAUAGAGAUUUGUGUUUGGUGUUGUGACAAUAAAACCAAUAAAUCAUGUAGCUUCGAUUCCAA